UUCUAGGCCCUGGAAAUACAAAGAAGAUGGACACAGACACUGGUGGACAAGGGGGCACUUCCUGGCCUUCUGAAGCUUUGGGUCUGAGGGAGGACACAGGCAGAUGCUGCUCACAUCUUCAUUUUCUGCAUCGGUCUCACCAGGAUCCUGAGAGGAGGAGAGGGCGGGUAUUAGAUGUCCCCAAGAAGUGAAAAAAGAAGUGUCACCGGCAUUAAAGACUGAGCAAGGAGGCGUCAAAUCUCCUUGACCCCAUGCUCACAGCACAGCUGGAGGAGACAGAGGUCUCGCCUUCACCGAGCUUAGCGAAAAUCUCCCCCAGCAAGCCAGCCCAGCUGCGUGCGCUGCUGCCCCCUAAAUUUCCUGUGAUUGUGACUUCUGAACUGGAUGUCUUACUGCAUCUGACCUUCGGUAGCUCGAGAACUGUUCAUAGGCCCCUGGAAUCCGCACUGGAAAAGGCCUCCGUAGUCAACGCUCCAAGCCUCCAUUGGCUUUUUAGAUUCCCUGAAAGGCAUCCCAGCUGUGCUGAACACUGACACCAAAAGGGAAUCAGUCAAUCACUGCUCCUUUGAACGGAGUUUGUGGCUUGACACUUCUUCACUGCAGAAUCUCUUAAUGGACGGAACCAAGUCUUCACUUCUCUCUUUCAUAUCCUGUAGCGGGUAGUGCAGUGCUGGGCCCACUAAGAGAUGGCAGAAGCACAGCAUAAGUUAGUUGCAAGAGCAUAGAAUCACCAUCUCUUUUGACAGGUGAGGAAAUUGAGGCCUAGAUUGCUGGGGGCUUGCCUACAGUCACACAGUGAGUGGUGGACAGAGCUGGAACAAGGACUCAGACCCCUUCCUAGCCCAGAGCUCUACCCACUCUUUGCUGGCCUUGGGUCUUGCUCCUCCCAGCAGAUUUGGGUGUUCCCUCCACAGUGCUCCCCAAGGGCCUUGCACAGACCGCUGUGAAAGCAUGUACCAGAAUCUGUUGUCACAAAAUACGCAGGGUUUUGGAGACCAGGGACCUCGUGUCAUGUCUCCGGACCUACGGCUUCUUCUGUAAGCCUGGCCCACAGAAGGCACCAGGAAAUGUUGGAAAAAGGCAGGAGAAGAGGGAGGGGGGCAGAGGAAAGAGGGAUGGAGGAGCAGCAGGGGAUGGCAGGGGCCUCCACUGUGAGGGGGGUCCCCCAAGACAGCCUGUCAUUACAGCCGAGUCAGAAGGAACUGUGACCUGGUUGACUGUGAGCAGGAGGUGUCUGAAUACGGCUUUGUAACAAUCAUGGUAAUAUAGAGUUCACAAAUACACUCUGCUUUAUCCGAUUCCCAGUGCUUGUUGCAUUUGGUUUGCACAACACAGGAGGCAUGGG
rnacentral:lncRNA from 10 species